AUUUCACGCCAUUCCAUAUCCCUUUGACACUUUUUAAAGGCUUGAUUGACCCUUUGGCUCUUGUUGGAGCGCGUAAUUCAACAAUGGAUGGAAGGUCUGCCGCCACUUGUUUUUUGGUGAUGCUUGUGUUGUUCGGAAGCACUACAUCUGCAGAGAAAUGUUUGACUUCUUCGUUUUAUCGGCUGGUGUUUUGUACCAAGGGUAUUUGCAAGUCUGUAUGCGUGGGUUGGUUCGGUUACCCUGGGCAGAAGAUCCGCGAACUUUGGUGCAGUAAUUUUUUCUUUGGCACGUGCACCUGCAAGGUUUGCGUUGAUGGAUAGAGCUUAAUGGAUAUGCUAAGUGCACUUCAUGUUAUCAAUAAAUAAUCCAUCACAUCGUGUCCUUAAAUGACGUAUGUUAUGCAUGUGAGUUUUUUUUUUUUUUUUUGAGACAAUGUUAUGCAUGUGAGUGUAUGCUUGGGAAACAACAUGGGGGACAUAAUGUAUUCGAGAAACAUGGGGGACAUAAUAAUAUUUGACCUCA